rnacentral:rRNA from 1 species
UACAGAGGGUGCGAGCGUUGUUCGGAAUCAUUGGGCGUAAAGCGCUUGUAGGCGGCUUGUUAAGUCGCGUGUGAAAUCCCUUGGCUCAACCAAGGAAGUGCGCGCGAAACUGGCGAGCUCGAGUGCCGGAGAGGGUCGCGGAAUUCCCAGUGUAGAGGUGAAAUUCGUAGAUAUUGGGAAGAACACCGGUGGCGAAGGCGGCCUUCUGGACAGUGACUGACGCUGAGACGCGAAAGCGUGGGGAGCAAACAGG